AGCAUGCCACGUUAAUAUAAAUAAAAUCUUAAUCUCUUUUGUCACACCUUUCCCAAUAAUUAACUGUAUAUUUUCCUUCACAGCCUAUCUAAUACCGCCAUCUAGGGGUAUAUACCCCAAAUUAAUAUUCAAAAACUACCGGUUCAAUCUGAAAGGCAACCCCAACGCUCCCGUCAUCCGCUGGCACUGCUCCAAGAGGUUUAGAGGGAAUUGUAAAGCGUCUCUCAGAACAUUCAAAGACAAACCCGAAGAGCCAACCGAGGUGUGUGGAGAGCACAAUCAUCCACCGCCUAAAUAUUUCACCAGUAAAGAUGGGAAACACAUAAAGUUUACAUAGAAUUUUAAUACCGACGGUAGUGGGGAAAUAUCAAUCGCUUUUAUUUAGAGAGCAUACAUACAGUUGUGACGGGAACAGCCGCAAUCUCAGAUACAUCACGUGGCGGUGCUCGAGGAGGCGUCGAGGAAAGUGCAGGGCGUAUCUGAAGACAAGUAAAGACAAGCCAGAGACACCGAUCAUGAUCAACGAUGACCACAACCAUAACCCGCCUCCCUACCAUGUCACCGAGGAUGGAAAAUAUGUAAAAAUUAAUAUAUGUGUCUAAAAAAUGUCUUUCACAUUGUUCAAUCGUUUAGUUUAGCUUUUUUAGGAUUAGUUUAAAAACACUGUUGUUUGAGUUGUCUUGUUCGUUAACAAUAAAAAAAUAUUCGCAACUUUAA